ACCUGAGGAAUAGCUCAGUUGGUAGAGUAUGAGACUUUUAAUCUCAGGGUUGUGGGUUCAAGCCCCACAUUGGGUG